CUUCAAUGAUAGCAGUGUUUUUCAACAGCAGUUUGCCUAGUGAGGAUUGAUAUUUUGGGUCUGAAAGA